rnacentral:rRNA from 1 species
UACAGAGGUCCCAAGCGUUGUUCGGAUUCACUGGGCGUAAAGGGUGCGUAGGUGGUGGGGUAAGUCUGAUGUGAAAGCCCCGGGCUCAACCUGGGAAUGGCAUUGGAAACUGGCUUGCUAGAGUGUGGCAGAGGGGGGUGGAAUUCCGCGUGUAGCAGUGAAAUGCGUAGAGAUGCGGAGGAACACCGAUGGCGAAGGCAGCCCCCUGGGCCGACACUGACGCUCAGGCACGAAAGCGUGGGGAGCAAACAGG